rnacentral:tRNA from 1 species
GGGGUUGUGGCUCAGUGGUACAGUGCUUGCCUGGCAUGUAUGAGGCACUGAGUUUGAUCCUCAGCACCACA